GGGGCCGUGGUGUAACAGGCAACACGCAUUCCUUGCAAGGAUGAUACGAGAGUUCAAAUCUCUCCGGCUCCACCA
rnacentral:tRNA from 1 species